rnacentral:rRNA from 1 species
UACGUAGGGUGCGAGCGUUAAUCGGAAUUACUGGGCGUAAAGCGUGCGCAGGCGGUGAUGUAAGACAGAUGUGAAAUCCCCGGGCUCAACCUGGGAACUGCAUUUGUGACUGCAUCGCUGGAGUGCGGCAGAGGGGGAUGGAAUUCCGCGUGUAGCAGUGAAAUGCGUAGAUAUGCGGAGGAACACCGAUGGCGAAGGCAAUCCCCUGGGCCUGCACUGACGCUCAUGCACGAAAGCGUGGGGAGCAGACAGG